rnacentral:rRNA from 1 species
CCCUUAGAUGUUCUGGGCUGCACGCGUGCUACACUGAUUAUUUCAACAAGUGUUUUAACUGGAGAGUUCGCGUAAUCCUGAAAUGUUAUCGUGAUGGGAGUAGAGUAUUGUAUUUGUUAAUCUUUAACGAGGAAUUCCUAGUAAGUGUAGGUUUAUAAGUUGUUCUGAUUACGUCCCUGCCCUUUGUACACACCGCCCGUCGCUCCUACCGAUUGAUUGAUCCGGUGAAUUACAUAGAAUUUUGCGUUUUACAUGACGGAAGAUGAAGUGUUUUAAACCUUAUCAUUUAGAGGAAGGAGAAGUCGUAACA